UAAUGAACAAUCUAAUUCAGGGGUCUUCAACGUUUUUUAGGCCAAGGACCCCUAGCUGAAAAAGAGACGGAGCUGGGACCCCCCUACUACAUCUAUUGUAAAAAAUUGUGUUGCGUAUUAAACUGGGCCUACAAUAACGUGUAGGGCGGACUAAAGCCUUUACACAUACAUUUGUAUG